rnacentral:rRNA from 1 species
AUUGAACGCUGGCGGCAUGCCUUACACAUGCAAGUCGAACGGCAGCACGGGAGCAAUCCUGGUGGCGAGUGGCGAACGGGUGAGUAAUAUAUCGGAACGUGCCCAGUCGUGGGGGAUAACGCAGCGAAAGCUGUGCUAAUACCGCAUACGAUCUACGGAUGAAAGCGGGGGAUCGCAAGACCUCGCGCGAUUGGAGCGGCCGAUAUCAGAUUAGCUAGUUGGUGAGGUAAAGGCUCACCAAGGCGACGAUCUGGAGCUGGUCUGAGAGGACGACCAGCCACACUGGAACUGAGACACGGUCCAGACUCCUACGGGAGGCAGCAGUGGGGAAUUUUGGACAAUGGGCGCAAGCCUGAUCCAGCAAUGCCGCGUGCAGGAUGAAGGCCUUCGGGUUGUAAACUGCUUUUGUACGGAACGAAACGGUGAGCUCUAAUACAGCUUGCUAAUGACGGUACCGUAAGAAUAAGCACCGGCUAACUACGUGCCAGCCGCCGCAGUAACAC